rnacentral:piRNA from 1 species
UGAACUGAGACCUCAAGUGCGGCCCUGAA